AUUAGCUACCUUAUCCUCUCCACCGCCGUCCACGCGCGAUUCCUCCCCUCCACCCGCGCCAUCUCUGCCGCGCACCCCGCCUCUGCCGCAUUCAAUCCACCGUGCAUCCGCACAGCAACGACAAAUCCUCAAAACGAACGCGCCUCUCCCCGCCACCGCGCAUCCAUCCAUCCAUCGGCACCGGAGGUUUCGCCGGAGCUAUCGCAUCUCCCAUUCUUCCCCUCCCCUUUGUAUAUCCUCCUCACUCCAACACGGCGCCGGGCACCGGUCCUCCUCGCGGUCUCCGCCGUCGCUGUCCAUCUUCCACCGGUAAUACCCGCCGCUGCCUCCUCCACUCCGCCCGCAUCGCCGUCCAAUCACCGCGCUGUCACGACACGAUUCGACCUCAACCACGGCGCUGCCUCCUGCACUCCUGCCACUCAGAUGUCACCCACGUGAUCCGGCCCUCAAGCCCGAUGUGGCCAGCUGAUCUUAUCCCCUCCCCCAUCAGUGAAGUCUAUUUUCAGGAUUAUUAGGGACAAAAGGAUCAUUGAUUCUCAUGUCCAAAAGGUGUUCGAUGAAAUGCUGCUAAUAGAUGGUUCGUUGGACAUGAUUUGUUCCUUGACAUGAUCAAUGUGUUGCCCAAGCUCCAGAUGACACGGUAUAAUGCUUCUGCUCUGGUCCUGAGGCCUGACUAUUGCUGCCUAUGCUGAGUUCUAAUAAAAAAAUAUAAGUGUUUUGGAAGACUGCAAGGACCAUGGAUGCCAUUCGUUGUUGGGGCUUAUCCCAUAGUAAAAAUGUAAACAAGAGCUUUGGCAAGGGCAGGUUGUAUUCCAAAGUAGGUCUUUGUGCUGCCCAGUUGUAUGUUUCAGCGUCAUAUCGCUCUUAUCUGGUGAUUUCUGGCCCAUGACAAAGAAGAUAGAGGGGAGGGGCAAAAGAGAAAAGCCCGUGGAAAAUGGGCUGGCGCCUCAUUGAGCCAGGUUGACGCAGUACCAUGCCUUAUAAUUGAUAAUGUACGCACUUUUGUGUUUUUUUUCAAUCAUUGUCUCAAAUGAACUAGCAGCUUCGAUACGCCAGUUCACACUAUUGUAAAUUUGUAAUGCGUAUCGAAGGUAGUGUGAUUCACCCGAAAGGAUUUUAUAGGAAUCAUCCAAAUUGACAUGUUACUAUGGUGUAUGAAACUCUAUUUUUAUCUCGAGAUUUUGUUGGAGUGUACUGCCUUUCUAGGUCA